AUGUGGUUGCUGUGUUUUCUAGAGAUAAUACUGAUAGACAGUGUUGGAUCAGACUCUGAAAAUGAGAAAGAAAUCAUGCUUCACCUUCAAAUUAAGCAGAAAUGGAAGGCUCUAGUGAUAGUGGGAUUGAAAGCCACAGCACUGGAACUACCAUACCAAUUUCCAGAACUGACAGCGAUGAGCUUACCUCAUCUGAUUCUCUUCCUCCUCCACCACCUCCACCACUUCCUCCACCUAUUCCACCAGUUCCUCCUCCUCUUCCUCCUACACCACCCUCUCCUCUUCUUCAUGAUGAAGAUGUAAUGUAUAUAUUUAAUGAAUUCUAAUUAACUCUGUAAUGUGGUGACAGUUGUCAUUAAUAUUUUGUGAUGUUUCCUUUUCUGUAGUAUUUUGCUGAUGAUGAAGAGGACUGAAUAACUUGUUUAAUAAUAUGUUGUUUUUUCGAGUUUAAUAAAGUUUUUAUCAUUUUUUGUUAAAGUUUUAAUUAAAAAAGGUUUGAAC
ensembl:lncRNA